UCUGCAUACACAGGAUAGUUCAACAGAAGAGCUCCUCCUCCUUCCAUGGGGUUGUAGAUCCUGCAGACUGGAAACCUAGAUCUGAAUGCCUCCACACUCUGAGAAAAUUUGGAUCUAGAUACAUGAACUUUCUGGCCUCUUUCUGGGAGUUGCACUGCAAUUUGAAGGAAUGGAAUUUUGCCAGAAACAGGACACAGAAACCAGGAAAUCUACAAACAAUUCAGCACGAGGAUUAGAAUCUUGGGAACACCUGUUAAUGAGCCAUGGUGAACAGGGCUGCAACUGAUUUUGUCAGAGGGGAGCAGACCUGGCUUGGAAGCAGCAACAGAAGGAGUGGAUUGGGCCCACAGCUCGCAGCUUUGGACCAAAGCUGAUCUGGUCAAGUGGCAGCAAUAGGCUAGAUUGGGGCUAAUGGCACUGGGCCAAAGCAGGUAAGGAUGGGCACUGGCAACCCAGCAGAUAUCAGCAGAUGUCUCACAAUGGACAAGGUGAGAGGAGCAUGUACCUACUGAUUGUGGCAGACUUGUGAGUGAGAUUUGUUUUGACUGGAGCAACAAGCCAGCCCACUAAUAAGAGACUGUGGCGUUUGAGGGUCAAAAUUCACCUCUGUGCAGAGGGUCAUUGCAAGGCCUCAAAAUGUGCUGAAGUGGUGAAUAAGCCAGAUUUCUUCCUAGGGUUGUGUUUCACCCAAUGUGCGUAAGAAAUACUCUAUGUCAAUAUCUACCUCUUGAUCCAUCUCGUCUAUUCUCCUCUCUCCUAUCCAUAUAUCAUAACUAUAGUAGCUGGAGGAUUAUGCCCAUGCAAUUAAUAGCAAUAGUUCUAUUAAAAUAAUAGCACUUAGAACAUACAUCGUGCUUUACAUGUUCAGGGCUCUGUACAGACUGAAAUGAAGCCCAUUCUGUCCACUGUGCUGCCUGACCAGGUGGAAAUCAAUGACCUGGUGGCACAUUCUGAAUAUUGGAGGGGAUAUUAAAAUAACCAUUUAAACAGCUGCUCCAUUUGCUCAUCUAGUCACUGCCAAUAUUUAAAGGGACAUGAUAAAGGUUGACAGUCAAAAAUUGUAACCUCAGUUAAAUUCUCCAAAAGUGAACCUUCUACCAGCCCUCAAAAAAAUUAGAGGCACGAGACAGUUAAAGUCUAAACUCACCAUCUGGGUGAAACACAAUCUAUGAAAUUAAGAUUAAAUGAGACUAGAUCCAAUUCAAAGAAUCCCCCCAGCCCCAACAAGAAAUUGAAGUGUUCAUGACAUGCCUAGCUCUCUGCUACUUUCUAGUCCACACAGUCAAUGCCAGCAUUCUCUGGAAGUGGAUCUUUGUCCCAUGGAUUCUUGAUUCUAAACUUUGUGUCUCCAUGACAGAAGAAUCCAGCCCUGUGGAACUAUUGAUCCUUCCUCAUCCCAUUCCCGAACAUAUAAAUCUGUUGACAUUGCCUUAAGACAUGUACAAUAUUUAGCUAUGUCACUGAAAAGUGAAACAUUAUGAA